rnacentral:rRNA from 1 species
AGUGAACGCUGGCGGUAGGCCUAACACAUGCAAGUCGAACGGCAGCACAGUAAGAGCUUGCUCUUACGGGUGGCGAGUGGCGGACGGGUGAGGAAUACAUCGGAAUCUACUUUUUCGUGGGGGAUAACGUAGGGAUACUUACGCUAAUACCGCAUACGACCUACGGGUGAAAGCAGGGGAUCUUCGGACCUUGCGCGAUUGAAUGAGCCGAUGUCGGAUUAGCUAGUUGGCGGGGUAAAGGCCCACCAAGGCGACGAUCCGUAGCUGGUCUGAGAGGAUGAUCAGCCACACUGGAACUGAGACACGGUCCAGACUCCUACGGGAGGCAGCAGUGGGGAAUAUUGGACAAUGGGCGCAAGCCUGAUCCAGCUAUACCGCGUGGGUGAAGAAGGCCUUCGGGUUGUAAAGCCCUUUUGUUGGGAAAGAAAAGCAGCAGGUUAAUACCCCGCUGUUCUGACGGUACCCAAAGAAUAAGCACCGGCUAACUUCGUG